ACUGCCCCUAGGGGUGUGGCUGCAGUGCCACGUGUGUGUCAGUAGGUGGCAGAGAGAGGAGAGAGGCUGCGUCUACUGUCGGUGUCCUGACCUAUGAACAGCCGAAUGGUUAACAGCAUUAACACU